rnacentral:ncRNA from 1 species
CUGAAAAAAGCCCAAUGCGUAACGUACAGCAGUGGGGAAUAUUGGUCAAUGGUCUAAGGACUGAACCAGCAAUUUGGAGGAAUGAAAAACGAAUAAGUCGUUUAAAGUUCUAGAUAAAAAAUUUAUGAUGACUAAGUUUUAUCUAUAAGUGACCAAAUUACGUGCCAGCAGUCGCGGUAAUACGUAGAAGACAAGUGUUAUUCAUCUUUAAAAGGUUUAAAGGGUACCUAGACUGGAAAUAAAGCCAUAGCAGGGACUCAUUUCCUAGAGUUUUAUGUGAGAAGAAUGAACUACCUAAGUAGCGAUAAAAUGCGAUGAUAAAGGUGAGACGGAUUGCGGCGAAGGCAUUGUUCUAUGUAAUAACUGACGUUGAGGGACGAAGCCUAGAGG